UUCAAACCACACCGCAUCUUGAUCCAUUUCAUUGGGUUGCCAUUAAGGAGUGUAACCUUGUUGGUUGUUAGAAUACAUUCCACCCAUUUACACCAUUUAUCACUAAACACUCUUGCCUCUAGGAAAGGCCAGCUCACAUUGUCGAAGGCUUUCUCGAAGUCCAAUUUAAGUAAUAACCCUAAGGUUUUCAUUCUUUAAUUGUAAGAGAUGAUCUCAGCCAUGGUGAGGAAGCUAUCGUUUAUUUGGUGCCCUUUAAUGAAGGCUAACUAUUCAUCUGGUAUGAGGUUGCUGAAGAAUUUGGAUAGCCAGAUAUAUAGCACCU
rnacentral:lncRNA from 1 species